rnacentral:ncRNA from 1 species
AACAUGGAUGAAGUUCAAACACAUACUGUUUCUACUCCCUGACUCUUCAAAGUCCUUUUAACCUUUCUGAUGUGCUUAGCUGAGUGUCUCAUGGGGCCCAGAGUGUUUAUUGUUAAGAACAAAUAGAAAACAAAAGAAUAUUCAAAGCAGUCUCACACCACAUGGAUACCAAAGCUCACAACUGAGUAAUAAGAUUGCAGCUCUGUUUCACUGGUUUUCAGAACUCAAGCCAUGCUUAGAGGGACAGUUGGGGAUGCUUGGCAUUGUGCAGCUAGAGGUGAAAUUCUUGUAGCCCAAGAAGAACCAGAGGAAAACAUCUGCCAAGAAUGUUUUCCUUAAUCAAAGAAGAAAUUUCAUCAGAGGUUUGAUCAGAUACCUAUAGAGAUCAGAUCCCUGCAUUGUAGUCCCAAUCAUAAGCAGUGCAGACUAGGCCAUGUGACCUUGUUAUUCUCAUGACUCUUAGGGUGGCCUCCAGGAAAUCAAAAUUUUUCAGUUCUG